rnacentral:rRNA from 1 species
CUAACCAGCUAAAAAAUUCCUUUUUUUUGGAAAAAAAAAAAUGACAAGGUUUCCGUAGGUGAACCUGCGGAAGGAUCAUUACAGUAUUCUUUUGCCAGCGCUUAACUGCGCGGCGAAAAACCUUACACACAGUGUCUUUUUGAUACAGAACUCUUGCUUUGGUUUGGCCUAGAGAUAGGUUGGGCCAGAGGUUUAACAAAACACAAUUUAAUUAUUUUUAUUGAUAGUCAAAUUUUGAAUUAAUCUUCAAAACUUUCAACAACGGAUCUCUUGGUUCUCGCAUCGAUGAAGAACGCAGCGAAAUGCGAUAAGUAAUAUGAAUUGCAGAUUUUCGUGAAUCAUCGAAUCUUUGAACGCACAUUGCGCCCUCUGGUAUUCCAGAGGGCAUGCCUGUUUGAGCGUCAUUUCUCUCUCAAACCCCCGGGUUUGGUAUUGAGUGAUACUCUUAGUCGAACUAGGCGUUUGCUUGAAAAGUAUUGGCAUGGGUAGUACUGGAUAGUGCUGUCGACCUCUCAAUGUAUUAGGUUUAUCCAACUCGUUGAAUGGUGUGGCGGGAUAUUUCUGGUAUUGUUGGCCCGGCCUUACAACAACCAAACAAGUUGACCUCAAAUCAGUAGGAUUUCCCAGUCC